UGCUGUAUAACCCUUUGACUGUGAGAAUGAAUGAUCUGAAAUCUUCUGUCUGCCUCUGUAGGGAGUUGUCCAUGCAUGGAUGAAUGCACGAUGCCCUGCCAGCACAGGCAGCUGUAGAGGGGCAGCUCAGCAGCAGAUGUGGAGGCGAAUCAGUGCUCAAACACCACACCCACCUUUAACUGCAACCGCACAGUGCAGGAGACGACAGUGUGAAAGGUAAUGAAGGUGACUUCAGGCAGAAAAAUGAUGCUGGAAGAGCGAUAUUUGGUUUCUGGAUGAGAGUCAAUGUUUUUCAUUGGAGUCUAAGUGCUGAGUCAGACAGGAAAUGCCAGAUACUCCCAGCCUCGUGUUGACGUUCUUCAUCUCGUAAAUCCAAAAGUCUGCUCCUCCAGUUCUCCUGAUGGUGACAUUUACUCUCCUCCAGGUUGUGCUGUAUAAUUAUGACUAUUUCAUUUUCAUUGCUUUUUGUCGUUAUUUGACCCUUCUGUCUGGAUCUUUGUCACAAUUAGCUUCAGCAACAUUUCUUUGUUUUCACAUUAGUGAUGAAGAGUUGCUGAUCAUCCUCUUUCAGCGAGUAUCUACUGGAAAAAAAAAAUAAGUAUUUAACCUGCAAAACUCUACAUGAAUGUCUCUCUUGUCAUAUGAUCCAAAAAGUUUAUGUGAAAGACCCUCAAAUGAGUUUUUUUCAGCGAUAGGCAGACAUGUGCAGAGAUUGAAGAAAUAACACGACUGGAUUAAAAGUUAAUGGAACACAUUUUCACAAAUCUGACUUGAAAUAAGAGAUUUGAUUACAAAAUGUCUGUUAUAACCAUCAACAUAGACAUAAACCCACUCAUAGUAAAAGUAUACAGCUGUGUGUAUAACUAAACAUACACUACUGCCUACAGAAUAAUAACACUUCUAGUGUUAUAUGUGAAGCUAAAGAUGAGCCUAACUCCAAAUUUCAUCCUCAAGCAAAUGGAAUAGAGGCUUCUAGGCUGAUGUAGGUUCCCAUUCUCAAGGGGAUGUUGUCUUGAAGUGAGGUUGAGAUGCGAGAUGAUAUAAUUCAUCUUCAAGACAUCUAAUUACUAGAGUUUAAUUAUUUACAAUGAAGUUUACAUUGAGCUCUUUUCAUUAAAGAAAUACUUGUAGAUAUUUGUGAGGAAACCAGGAGGAAACUUUUAGUAGAACAUCAGCAAAUAAAAAAGCUUUGGAUUUAGAACAAAGCAGUGUUUGAGGGGGUAGCAGUGAGACUGAACCCUGUUGGGUUCCGUUUCAGAAGCAAAACCCAGAAUAAUCCAAAAAAACCCCACAUAUUUCUUUGUUGUUGUUUUGUGGUUUUUUGCAGCUGCAAAAAAGGCAAAGGCUAUGCAAAACUAUAGCCUGAAAGAUUUAACUCACAAAAUAAAUAAAACGUUUGAAACAUGAGAAGUUUAAAACAUAAGCAUAUGAGAUGGGUUGCUAUGUUUUUAAUUUUCAUUUAAAUUUCUUUUUACCUCAUUUUAACCCUUUAACUCCAGCGCCGACGCCAGCGAGGAAAAACAAUAUGAUCUUUAAGCAACAAUCUUGUUUAUGUAAUAAACCUAAUAUGAACUUAUUGGUACCAGUAACAGUAACUUUCUGGCAGUGAAGUGUUGCAUAUCAGUUCAACCUUCUUUCUUCAGCUUUCAGAGUCUGUUGGAAUUCAUGUAAUUGUGCAAACAGUUGAAGAAUUACGGUAAUUUAAAAAAGGUUGUUAUUUUCUGCUGCCAUUGACUGCAUCUCCAAUCGGUGAUGUACCUUUGUCACAAUAUAAAUAAUUUAAAUAUUCCAAAUUCAAACAAACAUUUUAGACCUGAACAAUCAAACUUCAUGUCAGCUUCAGACGAAAAUCCUGAAAGAAAAGAGCAAACAAAGACAGAUGUUGGAUCUUCAACUGCUGCAAAUUUGUGUUUAAACAGUGCGUUUAUGUUUUGUGAGCAGUUGGCCGUUCUGCAGAUGCGCCUGUCCUUUGGAUUCAAUGCGUAAUCAUUGGUUUUUGUUUUAUUCUUUGUGAGAGAUGGAGGCGCACUCCAGGUCAUUAGAGACUGCUUCAGUGGGGGCCCAUCGUUACGCCAACGCCUAGAAUACCUGCAUUCAUGCUCACGAGCAUAAACAGAACUUCUGAUUGGUAUGUACAGAAAUAAUCUCCACAAUAUGGACCAAGUUCUGCUCAACUAAGUGAAAGGAGGCCUCUCAGCGUUUAGUGUUUACACCCAGGACCCGGCUCUCAUGAAACAGGAUACAUGAUGUCAGAAGAAACACUCUCAUAACCGGAGGUCCUCAAACUCAGCCAUGUCCUUGUUUUGUUUGCAGUACAGGGAAGGAGAAUUUACUCUAAAAUAACUUCAAAGGAACAAGGGGAGGAGCCAUAGCAAGGAUUAGGACCAUCGCAAGUGUCUUAAAGUUGAAUCAACUUGAACAUGUCACCUGGAGGAAGGAGAACCUUCACCAGGAUCUUACCUCCAGUGCACGUGCACGCUCACGCGGAGAGCCUCUGAUGCACGCUGAACAAACUGCAGCGUGCUCUCAGCCAACCAAGCAGCUGGCCCAUGGAACCCUCACGACCAGCGAAUGGGCUGCUAUUUAUAGCUUGUAAACAUCGCUGGACAUGCGGAGUUUGUCCCUCGUCACCACCCGUAGCCAGACUACAGAAACAGCAUCAGAGUGAGUACCUGUUAAAAUGUGAUUCUGUAAAAACUGCAGUUUGACUGAGAACAAAGUGGACCUUAGU